rnacentral:rRNA from 1 species
UACGUAGGUAGCGAGCGUUGUUCGGAGUUACUGGGCGUAAAGGGUGUGUAGGCGGUUGUUUAAGUUUGGUGUGAAAUCUCCCGGCUCAACUGGGAGGGUGCGCCGAAUACUGAAUGACUAGAGUGCGGGAGAGGUGAGUGGAAUUCCUGGUGUAGCGGUGAAAUGCGUAGAUAUCAGGAGGAACACCGGUGGUGUAGACGGCUCACUGGACCGUAACUGACGCUGAGACACGAAAGCGUGGGUAGCAAACAGG